rnacentral:rRNA from 1 species
UACAGAGGGUGCGAGCGUUGUCCGGAAUCACUGGGCGUAAAGGGCGCGUAGGCGGCCUGGUAAGUAGGGGGUGAAAUCCCGUGGCUCAACUGCGGGACGGCCUCUUAGACUGCCUGGCUCGAGCACGGUAGAGGCAGGUGGAAUUCCCGGUGUAGCGGUGGAAUGCGUAGAGAUCGGGAAGAACAUCGGUGGCGAAGGCGGCCUGCUGGGCCGUUGCUGACGCUGAGGCGCGACAGCGUGGGGAGCAAACAGG